GAGUUUGAUCCUGGCUCAGGACGAACGCUGGCGGCGUGCUUAACACAUGCAAGUCGAACGAAGCUUGAUUACGGAUUCUUCGGAAGAAGUAUGAUAUGACUGAGUGGCGGACGGGUGAGUAACGCGUGGGUAACCUGCCUCAUACAGGGGGAUAACAGUUAGAAAUGACUGCUAAUACCGCAUAAGACCACAGCACCGCAUGGUGCAGGGGUAAAAACUCCGGUGGUAUGAGAUGGACCCGCGUCUGAUUAGUUAGUUGGUGGGGUAACGGCCUACCAAGGCGACGAUCAGUAGCCGACCUGAGAGGGUGACCGGCCACAUUGGGACUGAGACACGGCCCAAACUCCUACGGGAGGCAGCAGUGGGGAAUAUUGCACAAUGGGGGAAACCCUGAUGCAGCGACGCCGCGUGAGCGAAGAAGUAUUUCGGUAUGUAAAGCUCUAUCAGCAGGGAAGAAAAUGACGGUACCUGACUAAGAAGCCCCGGCUAACUACGUGCCAGCCGCCGCGGUAAUAC
rnacentral:rRNA from 1 species